rnacentral:lncRNA from 1 species
CAAAAGAGCAUUGUAAAGCGAUAACGACGAGAAGUGGAAGGGAGUUGAUUAGUGAGAGUAAAAAAAGAGAUGAGAGUGAAAAAAGAGAGGAUGAGAAAAAUGAUGAGGAGAAAAAAAUAGAGGAUAUCAUUGAUGGUGAAGUUGGGGAGUGGAGUGAGGAAGAAGUUGAAAAGAUGAAAAAAAUGGUGAAGUAGAAAAUAAAGAAAGUGUGGAAGUCGAAAAAAAUAAGAGUGAUGAAGUGAUG